UGGGGAAUAUUGCACAAUGGGCGAAAGUCUGAUGCAGCAACGCCGCGUGAGUGAUGAAGGUCUUCGGAUUGUAAAGCUCUGUCUUUUGGGACGAUAAUGACGGUACCAAAGGAGGAAGCCACGGCUAACUACGUGCCAGCAGCCGCGGUAAUACGUAGGUGGCGAGCGUUGUCCGGAUUUACUGGGCGUAAAGGGUGCGUAGGCGGAUGUUUAAGUGAGAUGUGAAAUACCCGGGCUUAACUUGGGUGCUGCAUUUCAAACUGGAUAUCUAGAGUGCAGGAGAGGAGAAUGGAAUUCCUAGUGUAGCGGUGAAAUGCGUAGAGAUUAGGAAGAACACCAGUGGCGAAGGCGAUUCUCUGGACUGUAACUGACGCUGAGGCACGAAAGCGUGGGUAGCAAACAGGAUUAGAUACCCUGGUAGUCCACGCCGUAAACGAUGAGUACUAGGUGUAGGAGGUAUCGACCCCUUCUGUGCCGCAGUAAACACAUUAAGUACUCCGCCUGGGAAGUACGAUCGCAAGAUUAAAACUCUAAAGUGAAUUGACGGGGUC
rnacentral:rRNA from 1 species